AAAAAAUACAAUCUUCCAAUCUUCCAGCUGAUUUUUAUAAAGAUGGCCACUACUUGGAAACUGGAUAUGUAGGGAAGAUAACCAUUCUCAAUGUUUCCAAGUCUAAUGAAGGACUGUACAAGUGCAUCUUUACUGAAUCUCAAGGGGAAUCACCAGAGAGCCGGAUGGUUGUGAGAGCACAUGUUGCUCCCACACCUCAGAAGACAAUACCUCAAGAUGAUGAAGAGACUGAACAGGAGAGCUCUCCAUCCAGGUCCACUGGACUCUCCAUCUUAUUGCCAGCUAUGUUGAUCAUUUUGGCUGUGGAUGUGAUAAUAGUGGCGGGACUACAUUACUGCCAGAAACACACAGCAAGCUCUUCUGCUGUCAUGUCAGUAACAGUGUAUAAAAAUGCUCAGGUAACUCAUCUACAAAUGGAUACUUACAACAAUGAGACAAAACAGAAAAAGAAAUGAGGUUAAGUACACUUUAGAGGUUACAAGGAAGGCCCAGCAGCAUCUCCACUUUCUACUCAGAAGCCUCAACUUGAAGCAGAAGCCCUUGACCGUCUUCUACCAGUACUUGACCUUUUUGCACCGAUAUAUUUCUCUUUUUAAUCUCUGAACGUAAUGCACAUUUCAUUACUGUAUAUUGUUGUAUAUUUUAUUCUGUACAUAUGUUAUUUAUUAGGACUACUGCUUGCCCCAUUUUGUGUAUGGUGACCCUGAAUGGCCAAAUGGACUGC
ensembl:lncRNA